rnacentral:rRNA from 1 species
UACGUAGGGACCGAGCGUUGUCCGGAAUCAUUGGGCGUAAAGAGCGUGUAGGCGGCCACUUAAGUCCUGCGUGAAAUCUUGCGGCUCAACCGCAAGCGGUCGUGGGAAACUGGGUGGCUAGAGUGCGGGAGAGGAGAGUGGAAUUCCUGGUGUAGCGGUGGAAUGCGCAGAUAUCAGGAAGAACACCCGUGGCGAAGGCGGCUCUCUGGAACGCAACUGACGCUGAGACGCGAAAGCCAGGGGAGCAAACGGG